GUUGAACGCUGGCGGCGUGCCUAAUACAUGCAAGUCGAGCGAACAGACGUGGAGCUUGCCCCUCUGACGUUAGCGGCGGACGGGUGAGUAACACGUGGAUCACCUACCUAUAAGUCUGGGAUCACUUCGGGAAACCGGAGCUAAUACCGGAUAAUAUAUUGAACCGCAUGGUUCAAUAGUGAAAGACGGUUUUGCUGUCACUUAUAGAUGGAUCCGCGCCGCAUUAGCUAGUUGGUAAGGUAACGGCUUACCAAGGCAACGAUGCGUAGCAGACCUGAGAGGGUGAUCAGCCACACUGGAACUGAGACACGGUCCAGACUCCUACGGGAGGCAGCAGUAGGGAAUCUUCCGCAAUGGGCGAAAGCCUGACGGAGCAACGCCGCGUGAGUGAUGAAGGUCUUCGGAUCGUAAAACGCUGUUAUUAGGGAAGAGCAAAUGUGUAAGUAACUAUGCACGUCUUGACGGUACCGUAUCAGAAAGCCACGGCUAACUACGUG
rnacentral:rRNA from 1 species